UACAGAGGGUGCAAGCGUUGUUCGGAAUUAUUGGGCGUAAAGCGCGUGUAGGCGGCUUUGCAAGUCGGGUGUGAAAGCCCUCAGCUCAACUGAGGAAGUGCGCCCGAAACUGCAGAGCUUGGGUGCCGGAGAGGGUGGCGGAAUUCCCCAAGUAGAGGUGAAAUUCGUAGAUAUGGGGAGGAACACCGGUGGCGAAGGCGGCCGACCUGGACGGUAACCUGACGCUGAGACGCGAAAGCGUGGGGAGCAAACAGG
rnacentral:rRNA from 1 species